rnacentral:rRNA from 1 species
AACGAACGCUGGCGGCGCGCCUAAUACAUGCAAGUCGAGCGAGAAGGUGUAGCAAUACACUUGUAAAGCGGCGAACGGGUGAGGAAUGCAUGGGUAACCUACCCUCGAGAGGGGAAUAACUAGCCGAAAGGUUAGCUAAUACCGCAUACGUUUCCGGAACUUCGGUUUCGGAAAGAAAGCAAUACCGUGGGUAUUGCGCUCCUGGAUGGGCUCAUGUCCUAUCAGCUUGUUGGUGAGGUAACGGCUCACCAAGGCUUCGACGGGUAGCUGGUCUGAGAGGACGAUCAGCCACACUGGCACUGCGACACGGGCCAGACUCCUACGGGAGCAGCAGUAAGGAAUAUUGCGCAAUGGACGAAAGUCUGACGCAGCGACGCCGCGUGGGGGGAUGAAGGUCUUCGGAUUGUAAACCCCUUUCGGGAGGGAAGAUGGAGUGGGUAACCACUUGGACGGUACCUCCAGAAGCAGCCACGGCUAACUUCGUGCCAGCAGCCGCGGUAAU